CCCAUGCCCAUAGUCUCCUCCUCCUGAGAUAGUGAAGUAUUCUUUGGAGAUAAAAAGGGAGGUGAAGUACUUGAGAAAUCAUUUCUGGGUCAGAAAGAGGAUAUGGUGCUGACACUCAUUUUACUCUAAGGAACAAAACAAAGAGUGGUAAUUUAUUUCAAAUCUCAGCCCUUUAGAACGCAGACAGAAACUGCUCACAUAUAAAAACCUGCUCCUUGAUUGAGAUGUUUCAUUAACUGUAUGAAAUGGGACAAGGAAGAAACACUUGGGAAACCAGUGAAUUCAAAGAGAUUAUUUGAAGGUUAUGUGGUAAAACGCUUAGUUUCUUCAACUAAUUAGGGCUGCUGGGGAAUGUGCAGUUUCUAGGUCAUAUUAAGUGUAAGAAGCUUCCUUCUUUAGCCAAUAGAAAAAUAAGGCUUGGCUGAACUGUGUUUGCAAUGUAAUUUUUUCCCCCUUUGGUUAUCUCUCUUCAUUUUUUUAUUCUGUAUACUCGGCUACCAAAUCAGGUAGAGGCAGCAACCAAAACCACACCAUUUUAUUAAAAUCUACAGUUCAUAUUCAUGUCUCAUCUGGAAGAUCCCCCAAGUAAUUUUGAACUGUAAAACUUCAUAUAUGGUGCUUAAAAUCUUCUUCUUCAGCUGCACCUCAUGAUGGUGGUGGUUGUUGCUGUAUUUCCCAUGCUCUGAAAACAUGAACAAAAAGUGCAGAUGGUCCAGUCCUGGGCUCUGUUUAUCUUGAGAAGCUGAUUAUUUUGGUAGAGGAUGUUACACAAUAUUUUUAAAUGGGAAGGUUUUGUUUAUAUUUCUUUUCUUCUGCUGCAGUGAUGCAGCUGAUUGUUCCAGUCUCAGGACAGACUGUAGUCACAGCUGGUCUUGCCGUCCCCAUCUUACACAACCAUCUAGUGCCCCUCUGAGCAACAAACAAUCUUCUUCUGAGCUCCUGUCAAGGCUGGCUCCACCAUUCACACCUCUCUGCUACAGAGGUGCAGUCACGAUGGAAAACAAAAUUUUAUGAUCCUUCUACUUCUGUAAGUCACCUACUACUAUUAUGAGUAUUCUGUGAGUUGUAUAAGAGUUGAUAAUUCUCUUUUUCAGCUUAGAAGAACUUGUGCUUCUGUCAUAAAACUAUUUGCAUUGAGUUGUCCAAGUUUUCUCCACUUGAAGUGAGUUAUCCCACCAAUUCCAAAAAGCUUCUGUAUCAUCAUCUUCAGGGUAUCUCCUGUUGGCUCUCAGUGAGUGAAGAUUCCAAACCACUGCUGUAGCUGGCAGACUGAAGAGUCCUUGAGAUCCUUCUUUAUUUUUAACUGCACAAUUUUGAUGCACUUUGCAGAGAGCAAGAUAAGAAAUCACAUAACUUGCAGUGAAUCUCAGAGAUGAAGCUAUCCAGCAUGGGAUGAAUUAUCUACCACUAUCUGAAAAUCACUUGUGUGAGGUAAAAGCAUUUUAAGUGAUGAAUUAAAUAUCAUGACUCUAGCUGCAUGAAUGAACAAAUAAAAAAGAAUGGUAUUGCCA
rnacentral:lncRNA from 1 species